GAUCAUGGCUCAGGAUGAACGCUAGCGACAGGCUUAACACAUGCAAGUCGAGGGGCAGCGAGGGCGUAGCAAUACGCCUGUCGGCGACCGGCGCACUGGUGAGUAACACGUAUGCGACCUGCCCCCUACAGGGGUAUAACCCGUAGAAAUGCGGACUAAUCCCCCCAUAGUCCUGGGUGCUGCAUGGCAUUCAGGGGAAAGGCCAGCCGGUAGGGGAUGGGCAUGCGGCGCAUUAGCUAGUUGGCGGGGCAACGGCCCACCAAGGCGACGAUGCGUAGGGGUUCUGAGAGGAAGUUCCCCCACACUGGUACUGAGACACGGACCAGACUCCUACGGGAGGCAGCAGUGAGGAAUAUUGGUCAAUGGGCGAGAGCCUGAACCAGCCAAGUAGCGUGCAGGACGACGGCCCUAUGGGUUGUAAACUGCUUUUAUAAGGGAAUAAAGUGGGUCACGUGUGACUUUUUGCAUGUACCUUAUGAAUAAGGACCGGCUAAUUCCGUG
rnacentral:rRNA from 1 species